CUGUCUCAAAGAUUAAGCCAUGCACGUGUAAGUACACGCCUUAGUAUGGUGAAACUGCGAAUGGCUCAUUAAAUCAUAUGUGAUUUCUUAGAUCGUUGCGUCCUUUCGGGGACGACUGGAUAACUGUGGCAAUUCUAGAGCUAAUACAUGCAAUCAAGCUCCGACCUCACGGGACGAGCGCUCUUAUUAGACCAAGGCCAACCUGCUAGUUCGCUGGCAGUUUGCUGUGGUGACUCUGGAUAAAGCUCAGUUAAUCGCAUGACCUUUGCGUCGGCGAUGUAUCUUUCAAGCGUAUGCCCUAUCAGCUGUCGACGGUAGGGUAGCGGCCUACCGUGGCAAUUACGGGUAACGGGGGAUCAGGGUCCGAUCCCGGAGAGUAAGCCUGAGAGACGGCUUAUACAUCUAAGGAAGGCAGCAGGCGCGCAAAUUACCCAAUGGGGACACCCUGAGGUAGUGACAAGAAAUAACAAUACGCGACUCUUUCGAGGCCGCGUAAUUGGAAUGAGCACAUUCUAAAUCCUUUAGCGAGGAUCAAUUGGAGGGCAAGUCUGGUGCCAGCAGCCGCGGUAAUUCCAGCUCCAAUAGCGUAUAUUAAAGUUGCUGCAGUUAAAAAGCUCGUAGUUGACAUCCGACGCUCGUCUCGGCGGUCCUGUUCACGCAGGCACUGCCUUGACGGCAUCUACACACUGGCUUGCGGUCGUGCACGCUCGGCGACGGGUAGCACAGAUCGGAGCCCCGGGUGCCCUUCAUUGGGUGCCCGCGGGUGGCCUUUGCGUUUACUUUGAAGAAAUUAGAGUGUUCAAAGCGGGCUCUUGACAGCUCGUAUACUCGGUACAUGGAAUAAUGGAAUAGGACCCUGGUUCAUUUCCGUUGGUCUAUGGGCAAUGGGUAAUGAUUAAAAGGGACUGCCGGGGGCAUUGGUAUGGCGGGGGGAGAGGUGAAAUUCUGUGAUCCUCGCCAGACUGACUACAGCGAAAGCAUUUGCCAAGAA
rnacentral:rRNA from 1 species